UUCCGGUGCGCGUGCGGUGGCGUGGCGGGCGUUGCUCGGAGGCACUUGCAGGUUGCCUCCUUGCCUGUUGGGUGGCCGUCCCUCGGGCCGCGGAGGCGACGCCCAGAUGCGGCCUGGCCAGAGGGGUUUUCUCGCGGUUCGGAGCUGCUCCCUCCCGGGGUGGUCCCAGCUGUUGCACACAUUUAAGAAGUAACCUAGCAAAAAAUACCAGCCCUGGGACCAAAGGGAGAAUCACUGCCUCUUCAGCUCCUACCCAGGAAUACACCAUUGAAAUAUCAACUAUAGAAACCCUUUACCCCACAGGAGGGUUGUAAGUGUUAAACUUUGACAUUCUGUGGUCUUUUGAAGACUCUGGAAGUAAGGGACCUGGGGAAACUUUUUUUUUUUUAACUUACUUAAACAAGAGUAGGAUAAGUGUGUUGUUACGAACAACAACAACAAAAAAGUGUGUUGUUACGAACUCUCAGCGGAAUCUGAUUCAAAGUGCGGGUGGAGAAAGAGGACACCCAGCUCACUGCUGCCAUUCCACAGUAUGUUAUCGUUCAAGAGUUCCAUAUUUGCUGCCUGUUGUCUGAGACAUAAGUUGUAUAUAUGUUUUCCAUUUUUUACUUAUCUUUAACUCUGCUUAAGGUGAUUUUGUUUCUUUUACCUUGCAGGAAUUUUGAUUCUCUGUAUGGACCCCAAAUGUAUCAAUCUUUUCAUUCCUUGCCUCUGGAUUUGGGUUCAUAAUUAGAAAGGCUUUCCUACACUGAGGUUUUUAAAAGAAUUCUCCCACAUUUUCCUCUGGUAUUUUUAUAGUUUACACUUAUAACACAACUUCAAUUUAUUUGGAAUAUUUACCUGUGUAUAGACCAAGAAAGGAAUCCAGUUGAACAUCUUUCUGGAUGAUUACCUAGUUCUCGCCAUACAUUUAUUGAGGAGUCUACUCAUCUUUUUCUUACUGAUUUAGUACCUUUGAUCUGUGCUAAAUUUCUCCCUCUGAUUGCAUCUAUUUCUGGACUUUCUAUUCUGUACCAUUUAUGUGUCUCACUCACCAAUAGGACACUCCCACUGAGGCUUUUAAAAUCUGUUUAAGAUCAUUUAGAACAAGUGCUCCUUCAUUGCCCUCCUUUUUCACGGUUUUCCCAGGGAGUCUUGCUUGUUUACUUGUCUAUGUGAACGUUAAAAUCUACUUCUAAAAAAGUUGGUAUUUUUAUUGGAAUAGUGUUAAAUUUAUAAAUUAAGAAGUUGUUUCUGAGUGCUAAGUGGAAGGAUUUGGGACUGGGAUAGAUCAUCUCUGCUGUUUGAUUAGUUGUCCGACCUCGAAAAAUCUAU
rnacentral:lncRNA from 1 species